UACGUAGGGAGCAAGCGUUGUCCGGAAUCAUUGGGCGUAAAGCGCGCGUAGGUGGCCUCAUAAGUCCGCUGUGAAAGUCAAAAGGCUCAACCUUUGAAAGCCGGUGGAUACUGUGAGGCUAGAGUACGGAAGAGGCGAGUGGAAUUCCUGGUGUAGCGGUGGAAUGCGCAGAUAUCAGGAGGAACACCAAUAGCGAAGGCAGCUCGCUGGGACGUUAACUGACACUGAGGCGCGAAAGCGUGGGGAGCGAACAGG
rnacentral:rRNA from 1 species